GCGCCCGUGGCGCAGCGGAUAGCGCGUCAGGUUGCGGACCUGAAGGUCAGAGGUUCGAAUCCUCUCGGGCGUACCA
rnacentral:tRNA from 1 species